UCUAAUAUGGCAGAUUAGUGCAAUGAACUUAAGCUUCAUAUAUAAAGUUUUUUUCUUUUAUUAGAA
rnacentral:tRNA from 1 species